UGGGCUAAGGACUAGUCCCAUAUCCUCUCGUUCACCUCCUUGGGCCUAAAAUUACGCCGCCUCAGGUCGACGCGACGCCGAUGCCGCCUUCAGCCUUCGCCCAAAUCGACGGCGAUGCGGCGGCGGCAGCGGCCGAGGCUGAAUACCGGUGCACCGGCGCGCGGAGGGGGAUUUCGUCGCCAGCGAUGGUCCGCAUUUCCUCCUCGCCGGCGGCUACUGCCUCCUACCUCGCCUCCAAUCUCCUGCCGAAAUGCCGCUCCCUCGCCGCCGUCAAGCAGCUCCACGCCCACCUCCUCCACCGCGCCUCCUUCCCUUACAACCACUUCCUCUCCAAGCUCCUCUCCCUCUUCACCUCCUCCUCCUCCUCCUCCGCCGCCGCCGCCGCCUCCGACUACGCUCUCCUGCUCCUCGCAUCCCACUCCGCCCCCACCGCCUUCUCCUACAACGUCGCCAUCCGCUUCUUCGCCUCCUCCCGUCCCCACACCUCGCUCCGCCUCUUCCUCCACAUGCUUCGCUCCGCGAUCCGCCCGGACUCCUACACGCUCCCUUUCCUCCUCCUCGCCGCCGCUCGGUACCCCGCCCCAUCACUCGCCCGUGCCGCGCACGCGCUCCUUGGGAAGAUCGGGUUGAAUGGCCACGACCACACUGUCCACUCCCUCAUCACGAUGUACUCCUACCUUGAUGACCCUGGUGCCGCACGGAAGGUGUUCGACGGAAUUCCCACCCGGGACGUGGUCUCUUGGAACGCUAUGAUGAAGGCGUAUGGGCGGGUGGGGAUGAACGGUGAGGUAGGCAGGAUGUUCCGGGACAUGGUGAAGGAGGGCACGGUGGCGCCCAAUGUGGUGACGGUGGCUGUCGUGCUAGCGGCAUGCAGGGAUCAGGGGGAUCUGGUGCUUGGAAGGUGGGUGGAAGAGUGGUCAUGGUCCGCACGGAUGGAAAUGGACUCUCUUGUUGGCUCGGCACUUUUGGGUAUGUAUGAGAAGUGUGGAGAGAUUGCAGAGGCGCGGCGUGUGUUUGACACCAUCAUUGACAAGGAUAUCGUCGCUUGGAACGCCAUGAUUACUGGAUAUGCGCAAAAUGGCAUGUCAAAUGAAGCCAUUUCCUUGUUCCACAGCAUGAGGAUAGCAGGCAUGCGUCCAGAUAAGAUAACAUUGGCUGGAGUCCUCUCGGCCUGCUCUGCAGUUGGAGCCCUGGAGCUAGGUUCUGAACUGGAUGGUUACGCCUCACGCAGAGGUUUGUACAGCAAUGUUUACGUCGGGACAGCCUUAGUGGACAUGUACGCUAAGUGUGGCGAUCUUGACAAAGCCAUAGAAGUGUUUAGGAAGAUGCCAUGCAAGAAUGUUGCCUCUUGGAAUGCCCUAAUUUGCGGUCUUGCCUUUAACGGGCGAGGUGAUGAAGCCAUUCAGCAUUUUCAAUUGAUGAGGAACGAGGAGGGGCUCAAACCAGACGAUAUCACUUUCAUAGGAGUCCUUUCUGCUUGUGUACAUGCUGGGUUAGUGAAAGAUGGCAAGCGUUGGUUCAAUUCCUUGACACCUGAGUUUCAGAUUAUUCCCAAGAUCGAGCACUACUCAUGCAUGGUUGAUCUAUUGGCGCGGAGUGGACAUUUGGAGGAAGCGUGGGACUUCAUCGAGAAGAUCCCUGACAAGGUAGAUGCAGUGAUGUUGGGGGCUUUGCUUGCAGCUUGUCGAAAAUGCAAGAAUGUUGAAAUUGGUGAGAGGGUCAUCAACAGGAUCAUUCAGCUGGAACCCACAAACUCGUGGAAUUAUGUGGUGUCAUCCAAGAUAUAUGCCAGCUCAGAUAGAUUGGAUGACUCAGCAAAGAUGAGAGGGCUAAUGAGGGAAAGAGGUGUCAACAAAACUCCAGGUUGCAGCUGGGUUGAGGUUAGCGGGAAAGUCCUUGAAUUCUAUGCAGGGGACGAACCACAGCAUGGUGCAGAUGAUAUGUAUCAAGUCCUAGACCUACUGGUUGAUGAGAUGAGGCUGGAGGGAUAUGUUCCAAAUCUUGAUGUGGUGUAGCCCAUAAACAGAAGCAAUUACUUUUAGCUGCUGAAAUGUUACUGAAUUUGUUUCUGGAUUGGUGUUUAUGUCUCUGAGGCUGUUACUAUGUGGAUAUGUGAUACAGGGAACCAGUUUUUCCCCCUCACAGCAGCAGAAGCAAAGUCUAAACAGAACUAAUGGAUGUCUGAGAUGGAACAUUGCUAACAAAGCAUUUCCAAUCAUUCAAUAUGACCAGAUAUCUGGACUAAUCCAGUGCAUUAUGCUAACUGAAUCAGCAUAUCUGCGCUCUACCACGCUCUUCAAAUUAUGGCAUGGUAGGUGCUUCAGUGGCUUGAGCUUGGGAUCCAUGAACUUAUUUGACAGAGUAUUAGCCACCCUAGAAACUUUCAGCAGAUAGGUAGACAACAGACAGCAUGCUGGAAUGAACCAUGUGGACCUCUUUAAGUUCAGCUAUUGUAUUCUGAGGUCCUGCCCUGGGCUAGUGUAUAUGCAGCCAUCCAUUGUUUGGUGUCCCGCAGCCUGCAGGUGGGAUGUGUCUUGGACGCCAAAUUUGUUUCUCUUUGGCUUGGUUGGCACGAGCCAGAAAUGGUGAGUCAUGCCAACUGUCUCAGGUUAACAUCCUUUGUGACACAAGUACACAAACAGGUGAAGCCUGGUUCAGCAGUGCAGGUGACCAAACGCCAAAAUGUGGCAUUGAAAACAGAUACAGGUUUAUAGUGGAAACAUGGAUGCCAAAUGGCUCUUGAUGCAAAAAUGGGUGAAGCUAUAUUAUUUUUCUGAAGCUUCAGCCUUGAUCAAGUUUGCAAGGAUCAGAUGUUCAAAGAAAGGCCACAGAAAAUUUCUGGGACUAGACAUGCAAAUGAAAAAAAUAUCACAUGAACCACAAUGAUGGAUAUGAGAAGCAUCUUAUCUUUUCCUACCGGAGAAAGAAGUGUACCAGUAUUGCAGUUUGCAGGCCUGUCUCUCCAAGGCUGUAGAAAAAUAUGACAAGUGAUUCUCUCGAGAAGGUUGAGCUGAAAGUUAUUCACAAGCAUUCAGCAGUGUUGGUAUCAGGGAAGGGGAGUUGUUACAUCAUGCUGGACUUCAGUCGUUGUCAGAUUGAAAUAAUCAACUCUAUCGACAGGGAGUUGGUAGGAACAGUACUAAUAACUUGAUGUUUAAACCUCUAUAUGUUCCUGCACUUAGGUCUGGCCGGUUAAUAGCUCACUAUUUCAAACUGCACAGUAGGUCGAGUUUAAACUCUAAAUUUAUAUAUUCGUUCCUUUCGUCAUCAUAGAUAUUCUGUAUUACAUUUGGUAAUUAUUAUGGAUACUUAUCAAGUACAGUUUUCAAAUUCAGGCUAAGCUUAUCUAUGCAAAUAGUAAUCCCUCCACUCACGAAAUGUUUAGGACAAAAUUUUGGUCAAACUUUUGAGGUUUUGGAACUUUUUAAAAGAAAAAAAAAAGUAUGCGAUGUGUUUAUUCUAGUAUUAAAUUUAUGGUCAGAUUUUAAAA